CUGCCGGUGGGCGCUGGAGAAUUGAGGGGGGCUGCUCCUAGUACGAGAGGACCGGAGUGGACGCAUCACUGGUGUUCGGGUUGUCAUGCCAAUGGCACUGCCCGGUAGCUACAUGCGGAAGAGAUAAGUGCUGAAAGCAUCUAAGCACGAAACUUGCCCCGAGAUGAGUUCUCCCUGAGACUUUAAGUCUCCUGAAGGAACGUUGAAGACGACGACGUUGAUAGGCCGGGUGUGUAAGCGCAGCGAUGCGUUGAGCUAACCGGUACUAAUGAGCCGUGAGGCUUAACCUUACAACGCCAGAGUGGUUU
rnacentral:rRNA from 1 species